CUUUGCACAUAACUUCUCUAAUUUAAAACGUGUGGGGGUUGCACAUUUUAAAAAGCCAAAUUAAUAGUUUUCUCAAGUUUUUGAGGAAUGAUGUACUCGCGUGGAGAAAUUUACCUAUGACAAUCAUCAGUCCUAUGACAUCUGUUCUGGCCUGCAGAGCUGAAAUGAAGUGGGAAAUCAAUACAUUCUCAGACGAAGAAGAAUAAGAGAAUUUGUCACCAGUAGACCUGCAGAAGAAGAAUGACUAAAGGAUGGUAUCUAAACAAAAACAAGCCAAAAGAGAAGAAACCUUGGAAGGGAGAAAGAACACUGUUAGCAAAACUAUAUGUAACUACAAUAGAUUUUUCUUCUCCUCUUGAAUUUUCUAAAGUAUGAUUUCUAAAUUAUGCUGGUUGAAGCAAAAAUUAUAAAACUCUCUGCUGUGGUUCUAAAUGUAUACAAAGGAAAUAUUUAAGGAAAUUAUUUUAUAAAUUGGGGAAUUAAAGGUAAAUAAAGGUAUAAUUUCACAGGAUGUAAAAUGAUGACACAAGUAGACUGUGAUAAAUUCAUGUGUGUGUGUAUAUAAAUAUAUAUUAUAUAUAUAUAGUAAUACACAGAUCAACCACUUAAAAAUUGCACUAUUUUGUGUAUAAAAAAUACAUUCAAAAACAGUGUAGAUGAAUGAAAAUGAGAUUUUAGGAAAUGUUCAGUUACUACAGGAAGAUAGAAAAAUUCAAACAGAGAAACACAAAAACAGAGAGAACAAACUGAAAACAAAAAUAGUUGUGAAUUACAUUGUGAGACAAUGAUUCCCUUUUCAAUUUCUUUCAAACUUCUGAUCAAAUCAGGCAGAAGCCUCAGUCUGGUGACAGGAGUCUUUCAAAAUUCCCUGGCAUUGCUAAACUCUCUUCUUUAACCCAGAGGAAGAAGAUCUCAAAUUCAGAGCCUGGGCAGGUGACAGCAUUUAGCCAGAACUCUAUAACACUGCUUGCACUGAGAUUAUUUUUAAAGUCACUUUUUUUGUGGCAAUUGAUAUGUUUUCACACACAGGUGUUAUACAAUAUUUCUUUUAUGAUAGAAAAUACAAAAUGAUGGGUCAAUAUAUGGAAAGAAUGUUAAAUUAUAGUUCAUAUAUUCAAAAAGAGCAAAUAUCAGGAAGAUGGUAUCCAAAUGACUGAAAUUGGUGAACUCAUUUAGGCAAAGUGCCAGUCACUUUCCAUCUUAUCUACUUUAAUGAAACAUUUAUUAUACUAAAUAUUUAUUAUUAUUAUUAUUAUUAUUAUUACAAUUUUGAGAUGGAGUCUUGCUUUGUCACCGAGCCUGGAGUGCAGCGGCAUGAUCUCUGCUCACUGCAACCUCUGCCUCUCGGGUAAAAGCGAUUCUCUGCCUCAGCUGGGAGUACAGGCGCCCACCACCAUGUCCAGAUAAUUUUUGUAUCUUUAGUAGAGACGGGGUUUUGCCAUGUUGGCCAGGCUGGUCUUGAUCUCCUGGCCUCAAGUGAUCCACCCGCCUUGGCCUCCCAAACUGCUGGGAUUAUACGCAUGAGCCACCAUGUCCAGCCUUAUUAUUUGUUGAAGUACUUAUUUAGCCCACUAUAAUGUGAGCUCCUUAAAAUCAGGAAAGAUGUCGAUUUUGUUUCUUUAGCAUUUGGCACUAUAUUUGUCACAACAUUCUCAAUGUUUGGUGAAUGUUUGAUUGAACAGCUCUAAAGGGAAGGCAUAGAGAAAUGAGUAAAUUUGGCCCCUUUGUUACACUUUGUUUAUGGUGGGCCAGGGAAAUAAAAGUUGUAAAUAAUGUAUUUGGUUGAACUUUUUUCUAAUCAUGUGUUUAUGAAUGCAUUGGGGUAGUGGAUAUAAAACUAAAGGAUGUGAAAAUGGGUGGUGUGAUAUCAUUUCAUCAAAUUCAACAACAAAUAUAUGAGACUGCUGCCAGAUAUUUCAAAUUCAGUUUUCAGUAAACUACAUUUUGCUUUCAGGAAGAUUAAAAUUUUAGCAUAGGCAUGUGCCUACUUAUUUGUUCUUGGGUUUUUGUUUUGUUUUGUUUUGUUUUUGGAGACAGAGUCUCACUCUAUUGCCCAGGCUGGAGUGCCGUGGUGCAAUCUCGGCUCACUGCAACCUCUGCCUCCGGGGUUCAAGUGAUCCUCCUGCCUCAGCCUCCCAAGUAGCUGGAAUUACAGGCAUGCGCCACCAUGUCUGGCUAAUUUUUGUAUUUUUGGUGACAGGGGUUUCACCAUGUUGGCCAGGCUGGCCUUGAACCCCUGGCCUCAAGUGAUCCGCCUGCUUUAGCCUCUCAAAGUGCUGGGAUUACAGGCGUGUACCACUGCACAUGGCCGUGCCCAUUUACGUUACAAUUUUUAUCAACUACUUUACACCAGGAUCUUAAAUGUAUUUUUUUGCCUUCAGAUAUGGGGUCUAUUCUUGAGAAAUACUGUCAUAAUUUUACAAAAAUUAUUAUUAGCAAAGCUGAAAACAAUUAUUUAUGUGUAUGUUUGUAUAUAUAUUUGUAUGCAUGUAUUUUAUCUGUAUACUUUAAGAAUGUUAGAGCUCUUCUUUUAAUCUUAUUCUUUUUACCCACCUAACUAACUUGAAAAGCUGAAAGGUAAUAUCUCAAAGGCUCGGCUCCCAUUUUUUCUGGAAAUUACAGAUUUUCUUGCACAUGUAAAAAAUGCUUGAGGAGGUGAAUAGUCAUUGUUUACGUGCACUCAAUGAAACCUCACUUCUCUUGUGCAUGUGUGUACAUGUGUGUGUAAAUAGCAAAGUUAAAUUUAUGACUUAGAUUAUAUGGCAGGACUUUCUUACUUAAACUUAUUAUUACUCUCAGACACAAACAGUAACAGGGACUAAUGAUUAAAUUUUCCAGAUGUGUCCUGGACAGAUAUGCAUUGGAAAUAGAUAAGAAACAUAGAAGUUAGCAUAUUAUCUUGCUGUACAAAUAGCUAUUGAGCAAGUGAAAUCAGCUGCUUUUCCAAAAUCUCCUAUUUGAAAUACUCCUGACAUUGUUACAUUUUUAGCAACCUCCUAUUCAACAGAUAAACACAAAGAUAAAUUUUGGGCUGUGCUUAUUCAAAUGAUCACAGACUUGGAGUCUGUGGUCUCCCUGAAAUUUACUGUAUUGCUCUAAGAACUUUUUGAUGUCUUAGAGAAACAAAAUUGGUAUUUUUUAGUUUUUAAAUAUUUUUAAUUGAUAAUAAUUAUACAUAUUUAUGGUAUACAUGGGAUAUUUUGAUACAUGCACACAAUAUAUUAUGUAAUAAUUAAAUCAAGGUACUUAGGUUACUCAUCACCUCAUAUAUUUAUCAUUCAUUUUUUAAAUUUAUUUUUUAUUUUUUAAUUUUUGUGGAUACAUAGUAGGUGUAUAUGUUUAUGAGGUAUAUGUGAUGUUUUUAUACAGGCAUGCAAUGUGAAAUAAGAACAUCACAAAGAAUGGGGUAUUCUUCCCCUCAAGCAUUUUUCCUUUGAGUUACAAAUAAUCCAAUUACAUUCAAGUUAUUUUCAAAUAUACAACUAAGUUAUUAUAUUAUUAACUUUAGUCACCCUAAUGCUGUAUCAAAUAGUAGUUCUUAUUCAUUCUUUAUUUUUUGCACCCAUUAACCAACCUCACCUCUCCCCACUCCCCUCCCCAGCCUCUGGUAACUAUCCUCCUUCUCUCUAUGUCCACGAUUUCAAUUGAUAUGAUUUUUAGAAUAUUUCAAAUCUUCUCUUCUAUCUGUUUUGAAAUAUAUAAUACAUUUUUAUUAACUAUAGUCACUCUACUCCACUAUUUAAUACUAGAACUUCUUCCUUUGGUCUAUAUUUAUACUCAUUCGCCGACCUCUCUUCAUCCCCUACUCCCUACUCCGUUCCCAGCCUCUGGUAACUAUUUUGAAUAUUUUUGAAGAAUAAAUUAAGAAAUUAGCAAUUCUUAUAUUUCACUAGUUUGAACUUAUAAAGAACAAGGAAAUCUUGUGAUACAAUUUAUAUCAGGAAGAAAAAUGGUUCAUCAUGCCCUCCAUCACAUAUUCUGGCAAUGUCAUAUCCUCUUACUUCAAGGAACAAUAGUUUGUUUCAUCUUUCACACUAAUACCCAUUUCAGAAGAAUGAAAGGCCAUAUUCGUGGGAAAUGACAUUUGAAAACUGGAAAAAAGGGAAGAGCAUAUUCAUGAGGAGAGAAUGAUUCAUUUUAGGGGUGUUGUUCUUUCCGAUGCACAAUAAAUCAAAGUUAAAUAUAAUUCAUUUCUUCAUUCAAUAAACACUGAGUGAGAGUCCAAU
rnacentral:lncRNA from 1 species